CAAUAGCGUAUAUUAAAGUUGUUGCAGUUAAAAAGCUCGUAGUUGGAUUUCUGGUCGGAAGCUCCUGUCCUCUGAUGAGCGUACAAGUGCGUCCUACCAUCCUUCUGUUAACCUUUAAGGCUUUCGCGGCUUUCUAGGGGCUCAGAUAUUUUACCUUGAGAAAAUUAGAGUGUUUCAGGCAGGCUAGCGCCGGAAUACAUUAGCAUGGAAUAAUGGAAUAGGACUUUUGCCUCUUCUGUUGGUCAUGAGGCUCGAGUAAUGAUCAAUAGGGAUAGUUGGGGGCAUUAGUACUUAACUGUCAGAGGUGAAAUUCUCGGAUUUGUUAAAGACUAACUUAUGCGAAAGCAUUUGCCAAGGAUGUUUUCAUUAA
rnacentral:rRNA from 1 species